rnacentral:lncRNA from 1 species
GUCCGAAUGAAAAGCAUUUUCCUAUUAAUUCGCCAUUCCUCUGUACACAAUACAAUAACCAAACUAGUUUGUUAUUAUAGGCUAGGCUUGUCUUAGCAAACCGGUACCCACACUCGACUUUAUUCACACAGUUAAACUUAUUUACAUUCAUAUACCCAUGCUUUUAGAAACCAUGCCAUAAGCCUUCUGCUUUAUCUUCUUUAAUAUACAUGUUUUCACUAAUGUCCGUUUCCACUGGUGAUAUAGUUCUACCAAAUAAUUUUUUGUGUGCUAUGCGAUUGAAGCAGUAUUCACUGUGUACAAAGCAGCUACUGGCAUUUGACAAUGUCUGGUCAUUAUGCGUGUAAGUCUACCCAUGCAGAGCCCAUGGAAAUAAUGCAGAGCCCAUGGAAAUAAUAGAUUAUUUUAGCUAAUUCACGAGCACAUUUUGUUGAAAAUUUAAUGGCAUUGCUAAGCAAAGAUGCGGCUUUAGAGAUACGCUUAUCAGCUACAGAAAUAUUCCCACUUUUCGAAUUCCACUUCAUUCCAA